AGGGAUUGCCCUAGUAACGGCGAGUGAAGCGGCAACAGCUCAAAUUUGAAAUCUGGCGUCUUUGGCGUCCGAGUUGUAAUUUGCAGAGGGCGCUUUGGCAUUGGCAGCGGUCCAAGUUCCUUGGAACAGGACGUCACAGAGGGUGAGAAUCCCGUACGUGGUCGCUAGCCUUUACCGUGUAAAGCCCCUUCGACGAGUCGAGUUGUUUGGGAAUGCAGCUCUAAAUGGGAGGUAAAUUUCUUCUAAAGCUAAAUACUGGCCAGAGACCGAUAGCGCACAAGUAGAGUGAUCGAAAGAUGAAAAGCACUUUGGAAAGAGAGUUAAAAAGCACGUGAAAUUGUUGAAAGGGAAGCGCUUGCAGCCAGACUUGCCUGUAGUUGCUCAUCCGGGUUUCUACCCGGUGCACUCUUCUAUAGGCAGGCCAGCAUCAGUUUGGGCGGUUGGAUAAAGGUCUCUGUCAUGUACCUCCUUUCGGGGAGAACUUAUAGGGGAGACGACAUGCAACCAGCCUGGACUGAGGUCCGCGCAUCUGCUAGGAUGCUGGCGUAAUGGCUGUAAGCGGCCCGUCUUGAAACACGGACCAAGGAGUCUAACAUCUAUGCGAGUGUUUGGGUGUCAAGCCCGAGCGCGUAAUGAAAGUGAACGGAGGUGGGAACCUUUCGGGGUGCACCAUCGACCGAUCCUGAUGUCUUCGGAUGGAUUUGAGUAAGAGCAUAGCUGUUGGGACCCGAAAGAUGGUGAACUAUGCUUGAAUAGGGUGAAGCCAGAGGAAACUCUGGUGGAGGCUCGCAGCGGUUCUGACGUGCAAAUCGAUCGUCAAAUUUGGGCAUAGGGGCGAAAGACUAAUCGAAC
rnacentral:rRNA from 1 species